rnacentral:rRNA from 1 species
GAUCCUGGCUCAGGACGAACGCUGGCGGCGUGCUUAACACAUGCAAGUCGAACGAAGAGCGAUGGAAGCUUGCUUCUAUCAAUCUUAGUGGCGAACGGGUGAGUAACGCGUAAUCAACCUGCCCUUCAGAGGGGGGACAACAGUUGGAAACGACUGCUAAUACCGCAUACGAUCUAAACUCGGCAUCGAGGAUAGAUGAAAGGUGGCCUCUACAUGUAAGCUAUCACUGAAGGAGGGG